rnacentral:tRNA from 1 species
GGAGAGGUGGCUGAGUGGUCGAAAGCGCUCCCCUGCUAAGGGAGUAUACCCCUAUACGGGGUAUCGAGGGUUCGAAUCCCUCCCUCUCCG